UCUUUCGGGUGAUUCUAAAGAAGGACAGCGGCGGACGGGUGAGUAACGCGUAGGCAACCUGCCCCAUACAUUGGGAUAGCCCUGGGAAACUGGGUGUAAUACCGAAUAACACUUUGGAAUGGCAUCUUUUCAAAGUCAAAACUCCGGUGGUAUGGGAUGGGCCUGCGUCUGAUUAGCUAGUUGGUAAGGUAAUGGCUUACCAAGGCGACGAUCAGUAGCCGACCUGAGAGGGUGAUCGGCCACACUGGAACUGAGACACGGUCCAGACUCCUACGGGAGGCAGCAGUGGGGAAUAUUGCACAAUGGGCGAAAGCCUGAUGCAGCAACGCCGCGUGAGUGAUGAAGGCUUUCGGGUCGUAAAACUCUGUCCUAAAGGAAGAAUAAUGACGGUACUUUAGGAGGAAGCCCCGGCUAACUAACGUGCCAGCAGCCGCGGUAAUACG
rnacentral:rRNA from 1 species